GCCACAUGAUGUACCUUUGCAUUGAGUUUUGACAAUGAUAACUUCUAUCUAUCACCCAUAAACCUGAUGGCU